rnacentral:RNase_P_RNA from 1 species
UCAGAUUAUUGACUAAUCGCGUGUAUAAAAGCACGAGGAAAGUCCGGGCAGCAAAGGGAAAUGGUAGUCGCUAACGGCGACCGGGGGUAACCCUAGGGAAAGUGCCACAGAAACGAAACCGCCAAGUUUACUUGGUAAGGGUGAAACGAGCGAGGUAAGAGCUCACAGUUUCUAUCGGUGACGAUGGAAAAUGGUAAACCCUACCUGCUGCAAGGAGAUGGAUUUCCUUAAGCCUAAAGCUUAGGAGUGUCCCGCUAUAAAUUCAUCAUUGAACCGCUCGAGCCGCCGAGUAAUCGUCGGCCUAGAUAGAUGAUUAGUCUAGACAGAACCCGGCUUACAGAUAGUCUGACCAA